UGGAAAUCAUUUCAGUGGGGAGAUUCCUAUUACACUUGGGAGGAUGAAGGGACUGAAUCUGCUUCACUUGAGGCAAAAUGAGCUUGUAGGUGAAAUUCCCUCCAGUUUGGGUAACUGUCAUCAACUAACAAUUCUAGACCUGGCAGAUAAUCAUCUUUCUCGUGGCAUUCCAGCAACUUUUGGAUUCCUGCAGGCUCUGGAACAGUUAAUGCUUUAUAACAAUUCCCUGGAAGGUAAUAUUCCUGAUUCGCUUACCAAUUUAAGAAACCUGACAAGAGUAAAUCUGUCCAAAAACAAAUUGAAUGGUA
rnacentral:misc_RNA from 1 species